GAUGAACGCUGGCGGCGUGCCUAAUACAUGCAAGUCGAGCGAACGGACGAGAAGCUUGCUUUUCUGAUGUUAGCGGCGGACGGGUGAGUAACACGUGGAUAACCUACCUAUAAGACUGGGAUAACUUCGGGAAACCGGAGCUAAUACCGGAUAAUAUUUUGAACCGCAUGGUUCAAAAGUGAAAGACGGUCUUGCUGUCACUUAUAGGUGGAUCCGCGCUGCAUUAGCUAGUUGGUAAGGUAACGGCUUACCAAGGCAACGAUGCAUAGCCGACCUGAGAGGGUGAUCGGCCACACUGGAACUGAGACACGGUCCAGACUCCUACGGGAGGCAGCAGUAGGGAAUCUUCCGCAAUGGGCGAAAGCCUGACGGAGCAACGCCGCGUGAGUGAUGAAGGUCUUCGGAUCGUAAAACUCUGUUAUUAGGGAAGAACAUAUGUGUAAGUAACUGUGCACAUCUUGACGGUACCUAAUCAGAAAGCCACGGCUAACUACGUG
rnacentral:rRNA from 1 species